UUAUACCAUGGUGAAUAUACCGGUUCUCGUUAGAUCACCGCAGUGCAUCAUUGGGCGCGGUCAGUACUUGGGUGGGUGACCACCUGGGAACACCGCGUGCCGUU